GGACUACCGGGGUAUCUAAUCCCGUUUGCUCCCCUGGCUUUCGCGCACUCAGCGUCAGUGUCGGCCUAGCAACCCGUCUUCACCUCAGGUAUUCCUCUUGAUAUCUACGCAUUUCACCGCUACACCAAGAAUUCUGAUUGCCCCUUCCGCACUCUAGCGCGACAGUAUCACUUGGCCGUUCCGAGUUAAGCCCGGAGAUUUCACAAGUGACUUGUCAUGCCGCCUACGCGCCCUUUACGCCCAGUAAAUCCGAACAACGCUUGGUCCCUACGUAUUACCGCGGCUGCUGGCAC
rnacentral:rRNA from 1 species